UGACAACCGUAAAAAUAUAAAUGAGGAAGUUAGUUUAGUAAACAACACAGUAAGGUGUUCAUUGUCUCAACUCGACUUUAGACAUAGAAUGUCGUGAUUUAUUUCUUCCUUUAGAUAAGAUCCUCCUUUGUUUACUUUCACAGACAGGAAGUAAGUGUUAGCAAAUCUACUAAGCACUGAAUGUGUUUUGAGUUUCUGGCCCUCAACUGAAUAGCAUAUGUUUUUAUUUUAGUUCGCUUUAUAACUCAGAGGUUAUUUACCCCUUUCUGAAGCUAUGAACAGAAAAAGGUCCCUCAUUUCUGAAACGUUUGGUGUAAAGAAGCGAAGAUUUGGAGGUGACAGUCUUAUCGGAAAUCCUAAACACGAAGAUGAUCAAGGUGCGUUCACUAACCGACUAACUGUUUGUGCCUCAGUCUGUGUUCAAGAAGGACCUUGUGACGUCAGAGCUACCUUGCAGUACUUGAUGACGCUUUUUCCAAGGAAGUUAUUUGACGACAGCCUUCCACUGAUUGUCUACAAACACCAGCUGUACAGUUUACUCAGCGACAAAACACUGGUGGACAAGCAGCUGAAUGAGUUGAGGGACAAAGGAGAACUGCUCAUGUUCCAGCUGGGCUUCGACACAGACACGUUUGCAGUUGUGUUUACUGAAGACUACAAAGCGAAAGUCUUGGCAGAACAGAACGGAAAAGACACUUGCGCAACCGUCGAGAAAUUUUUAGAUAAGGUUCUGCCUAAGUGCUUAGGAUUGAGUUUCAGCAAAUGUCAGAUGCUCACAGAGUUUCUAUUCACAGAUGCCGAGAUAACGCAGCUUGUGAAGUCAGGAGUGUUGACAGUGAGAGAUGCAGGAAGCUGGUGGCUUUCAAUUCCAAACUCUGGUCGAUUCACCAAAUACUUCAUACAGGGUCGCAAAGCUGUACUUAACAUGGUCAAGAAAUCAAAAUACAACGAAAUCCUAAAGGCAGAUUUGGAAGCACGUCGGAACAAAUCGCAAAUCAAACUCGAUAUCAAGUACCACAUACAUGACAUAAUAGGUGCAGAACUUGUAGAAUGCAUACAGACCACGUCAGGGCCUUUAUUAAGAUUUGUGGACAGUUGAUCUACUUUCAGCUUACCGGAUGUGAACGAACUGAGAAACUUUGAUAUUUCCUUUCGAGCAUCAUACAGGAGAAAGAUAUUUUGUUAUAUAAAGGUGUGAUGGUAAGACAUGUGCACAACAGGGAUAUCGAUGAUGAACUGCAUCCAAACAUGUCUGCCUUUAAUGUUACAAGACUAAAUAUAUGUAAUGGUCCACCUUGGGAACAUUUACCUAAAUUUGCUUCCGGUGAGAAGCAGAACUGUGUUGCCUUAAAUUCAGUGAGGUUUUUGUUGUAAAACAGCUGGUUGCACAAACUUCUUAUUUGAAAUAAUGGACCAUCUUCUCUGUUGUCAACUGAACUGAACAAAUACUGAUGUUCUUGCCUCAUAGCUCCAAGGUGCUUGCUUUUGAUACUUAGCUCACAUUGUUGUUUCUGUCAAGUUUUGUUUCUUCCCACUUGGUAUUUGAUUUUGCAUCUCUAAAAAUAACUAACAAAAAAAGUGUGAAUGAGUUGAUUGCACUCUUCCUGCAUAUAUAUUAUAUAAUGUAUUCCUGCAUAUAUGCUGCAUUAUUCUCAGCUAAAGCAGAUAUUGAAAAAGAAUGAAUGAAUUCUGUAUCCUGAUUCAUUUCCAUGUAGAUUGCAGCCUGUUUGGAUUAUUGUCCAGUCACUUGGGCUGGUGACCUGUUUGAUUAGGAAAAAGUAUAAACAUUUAUGAAUUUUUGUUAACACUUAUCAGCACAGUAAAUAAAAUGGUCAAUCAUCAAA